GCUCUGGCUGAUUUGCAUAACCAGAAGCUCUCCUCAGCAGGGGAUAAGAGAGGCCUGGGGGAACCAGCCCAUCCUAGAGGCCUGAGAGAGCAGAUCUGGGGGCACCUCCACCAUGGCCUGGACCCCUCUCCUCCUCACCCUCCUGGCUCACUGCACAGGCUCUGUGGCCUCCUUUGAGCUGACCCAGCCACGCUCAGUGUCAGUGGCCCUGGGACAGACAGCCAGGCUCACCUGCUCUGGAGGAAAAUUUGAGGACCGAUAUGUUUACUGGUACCAGCAGAAGACAGAUCAGCCCCCUAAGCUGGUCAUCUAUGAGGAUAGCAAACGACCCUCAGGGAUCCCUGACCAAUUCUCUGGCUCCAGCUCUGGGAACACAGCCACCCUGACCAUCAACGGGGUCCAGAAUGAGGAUGAGGCCGACUAUUAUUGUCAGUCAUCAGAGAGUGACAGCAGUGCUUCUCACAGUGACACAGGCAGAUGGAGAAGUGAGACAAAAACCCAGUCCCCUGUCUGUGUCACUCUCCCUCAAGCCCCAGGAGGACUGAGGGCAAACAAUAUGCACACCUAGCCCAUUCACCCAGGCCUGAGACCCCCCAGGCUGCCCAGGCUGCCAAGUCUCCCCACCUUCUGAGCUCCUGGCCAGGUCAGUGAGUCUGAGGGGUGUUGAGGAAAUCAGAGCUGAGUCACCCUCAGGAGACCCUAGAUGGGGUGCAGGACCACAGGGCUCAGGGGCCCCCAUGCUAAGAGAAAGGUGUGGAACUGAGGUGGCAUCAGUGCAGCUUGGUGACCACACUGCCCAGUGUCCUCAACUGUCAGGCACAGUACAGAGGCACAGAGAGCUAGACAGAGCCCACCUGGGGGACCCUGUCCCUUCCCAGGCAGACAUUCCUGGAGGCCAUGAGUCCUGCUCAGCACCUGCCCAGGUCACCUGAUUUAUGACCUGGAAUUUCCUUCCCCUUUAUCACCCCUGACCUCACAUCAUUCCACACCCCAAAUUCCUCACUCGGGGAUAAUGUCACUGGUACCUGUUGUGGCUUUGAUUCCUGGCUCCCCCUGGGGCCCCUGUUCUCUCAGCUCCUCAAAAACAACAAACCCUCCCUACAGGGCCCUGACAUAGCUCUGCCCCCAUACUCUGCCCAUCCCCUCUUUCCUCUCCUGUCCCAACAGCAGCUCCAAGGCCAGCCCUUGAGGAAGUCCCUCAUCCCAGAGAGCAUCCUGCCUCUCAUUUUCUCUCACACUCUCACUAAUUUUCUGCAGAGCACUCACCACUGCUCACCCUGUGCCAUAUUGAUUUUUUUCUUUCUUCUGUCUAUCUUUCCAUAGAUUUAUAAACACAUAUAUUGUUCCACUAAGUCCACCAUCUUUCUCCCAGUGGAAUAAACAAAAAAUAAACCUCUCCCAUGUCAGUCACAUUUCCUGACUUGCACAGGAAUUACUUUGUUAGCUGUUUAACUGUGUUACCAACCAGGACCCACAAUCCCAGCCUCACAUUUCACAGGGACUCUCUCCUGCCCUGCCUUUCUCAACCAGGAUCCCUGGAAGCUUUGUCUGCUGCAAAAUCCUUACACCCAAAGAGCAAGCAACUGAAGAACAAGUAGACAAAUGGGAUCUCCUCAAUAUUAAACACUUUUUUACAUCAAAGGACUUUGUCAGAAAGGUAAAAAGGCAGCCUACACAA